GACGAACGCUGGCGGCGUGCCUAAUACAUGCAAGUCGAACGGAAAGGCCCUGCUUUUGUGGGGUUCUCGAGUGGCGAACGGGGGAGUAACACGCGAGUAACCUGCCCUUGACUUUGGGAUAACUUCAGGAAACUGGGGCUAAUACCGGAUAGGAGCUCCUGCUGCAUGGGGGGGGUUGGAAAGUUUCGGCGGUUGGGGAUGGACUCGCGGCUUAUCAGCUUGUUGGUGGGGUAGUGGCUUACCAAGGCUUUGACGGGUAGCCGGCCUGAGAGGGUGGCCGGCCACAUUGGGACUGCGAUACGGCCCAGACUCCUACGGGAGGCAGCAGUGGGGAGUAUUGCACAAUGGGCGGAAGCCUGAUGCAGCAACGCCGCGUGCGGGAUGACGGCCUUCGGGUUGUAAACCGCUUUCGCCUGUGACGAAGCGUGAGUGACGGUAAUGGGUAAAGAAGCACCGGCUAACUACGUG
rnacentral:rRNA from 1 species